GACGAACGCUGGCGGCGUGCCUAAUACAUGCAAGUUGAGCGCUGAAGGUUGGUACUUGUACCUACUGGAUGAGCAGCGAACGGGUGAGUAACGCGUGGGGAAUCUGCCUUUGAGCGGGGGACAACAUUUGGAAACGAAUGCUAAUACCGCAUAAAAACUUUAAACACAAGUUUUAAGUUUGAAAGAUGCAAUUGCAUCACUCAAAGAUGAUCCCGCGUUGUAUUAGCUAGUUGGUGAGGUAAAGGCUCACCAAGGCGAUGAUACAUAGCCGACCUGAGAGGGUGAUCGGCCACAUUGGGACUGAGACACGGGCCAAACUCCUACGGGAGGCAGCAGUAGGGAAUCUUCGGCAAUGGACGAAAGUCUGACCGAGCAACGCCGCGUGAGUGAAGAAGGUUUUCGGAUCGUAAAACUCUGUUGGUAGAGAAGAACGUUGGUGAGAGUGGAAAGCUCAUCAAGUGACGGUAACUACCCAGAAAGGGACGGCUAACUACGUG
rnacentral:rRNA from 1 species